rnacentral:rRNA from 1 species
GAUGAACGCUGGCGGCGUGCCUAAUACAUGCAAGUCGAGCGAAGCGGGGACGGGGGAGUAACACGUGGAUAACCUCCUAUACGACUGGGAUAACGUCGGGAAACCGGUGCUAAAGCUGAUACUUAUAGAUGGAACCUCGGUGCAUUAGCUAGUUGGUAAGGCAACGGCUUACCAAGGCAACGAUGCAUAGCCGACCUGAGAGGGUGAUCGGCCACACUGGAACUGAGACACGGUCCAGACUCCUACGGGAGGCAGCAGUAGGGAAUCUUCCGCAAUGGGCGAAAGCCUGACGGAGCAACGCCGCGUGAGUGAUGAAGGUCUUCGGAUCGUAAAACUCUGUUAUUAGGGAAGCGGUACCUAAUCAGAAAGCCACGGCUAACUACGUGCCAGCAGCCGCGGUAAUAC